rnacentral:rRNA from 1 species
GCGUAAAGGGCUCGCAGGCGGUUUCUUAAGUCUGAUGUGAAAGCCCCCGGCCUCUUCAGGGGAGGGUCAUUGGAAACUGGGAAACUUGAGUGCCCCUUUAAAGAGUGGAAUUCCACGUGUAGCGGUGAAAUGCGUAGAGAUGUGGAGGAACACCAGUGGCGAAGGCGACUCUCUGGUCUGUAACUGACGCUGAGGAGCGAAAGCGUGGGGAGCGAACAGGAUUAGAUACCCUGGUAGUCCACGCCGUAAACGAUGAGUGCUAAGUGUUAGGGGGUUUCCGCCCCUUAGUGCUGCAGCUAACGCAUUAAGCACUCCGCCUGGGGAGUUCGUUCGCAAGACUGAAACUCAAAGGAAUUGACGGGGGCCCGCACAAGCGGUGGAGCAUGUGGUUUAAUUCAAAAUAUUUUUUUUUUCCUUACCUUGUCUUGACAUCCUC